rnacentral:rRNA from 1 species
AUUUAAAAUGUAUUUAUUUAUACUAAAGUAGUAUUAGUUAUGUUCUUGAAACUUAAAAAAUUUGGCGGUAUUUUAGUCUAUUCAGAGGAACCUGUUCUAUAAUCGAUAAUCCACGAUGGACCUUACUUAAAUUUGUUAAUCAGUUUAUAUACCGUCGUUAUUAGAAUAUUUUAUAAGAAUAAUAAUUUUCAUAAAAUUUAAUUAAAAUAUAUAUCAGAUCAAGGUGUAGCUUAUGUUUAAGUAGAAAUGGGUUACAAUAAAUUUAUUUAUACGGAUGUAAAGAUGAAAAAUUUACUGAAGGUGGAUUUGAUAGUAAAAUUAUAAAGAUUAAUAAUUUGAUUUUAGCUCUAAAAUAUGU